CUGUCGUCGUCCAGUCUUCCGGGAGCUUCGGUUGUCCAUCGGGAGCCUGUCUCACCUCUUUCCGGAAGGCCGCACAACAUUCUUCCUUUCUCAGCUUCCACCACAUGGUUCUCUGCUCUACCUUUGUCUUCUUAAUCUUCCUACCCACCACCAGAAUCAUCCUACAUACUACCAUCCUAUGCUGUCGAGCUACACUCUCCCCUACCACUACUUUACAGUCAGUAACCUCCUUCAGAUUACAUCGUCUGCACAAAAUAUAAUCUACCUGCGUGGUUCUACCUCCGCUCUUCUUAUAUGUUCCUCCCUCUUCUGGAAAUAAGUGUUCACUACAGCCAUCUCCAUCCUUUUUGCAAAGUCCACCACCAUCUGUCCCUCAAAGGUCCUUUCCUGGAUGCCGUACUUACCCAUCACUUCUUCAUCGCCCCUGUUUCCUUUACCAAUAUGUCCAUUACAAUCUUUACCAAUCACAACUCCCUUGCUGUCUGGGAUGCUCAGAACUACUUCAUCUAGUUCCUUCCAGAAUUUCUCUUUCAACUCUAGGUCACAUCCUACCUGUGGUGCAUAGCCGCUAACCACAUUAUACAUAACACCGUCAAUUUCAAAUUUUAGUCUCAUCACUCGAUCUGAUACUCUUUUCACCUCCAAGACAUUCUUAGCCAGCUCUUCCUUUAAAAUAACCCCUACUCCAUUUCUCUUCCCAUCUACUCCGUGGUAGAAUAAUUUAAUCCCUGCUCCCAAACUUCUAGCCUUACUACCUUCCACCUGCUCUCUUGGAUGCACAGAAUAUCAACCUUUCUCCUAAUCAUCAUGUCAACCAACUCCUGAGCUUUUCCUGUCAUAGUCCCAACAUUCAAAGUCCCUACACUCAGUUGUAGGCUCUGUGCAUUCCUCUUUUUCUUCUGACGCUGGAUCCGGUUUCCUCCUCUUCUUUUUUGGAAUAUCUAAGGUGUAUAAUAAUAGAGCGCUGGAUUCCUAUUUUGCAAGAUAUUUAACUGUCCUCCCAGUAAUUCCUAUUUUUCCUGUCGGAGAAGGAAUUAAGCCCAGUCCUAGUUUCAGCAAGCCAUCUCUUCCCAAAAAACAUACGGGGCAAAUUAAAAAGUUGCAUUUUGGGAGCAUUAGUUGUGACAUUUUUGAUGGGGAGAUGGCUGCUCUCUUCCUCAUCUGUGGCCACAAUUAUUAAAUGUUUCACAUAAAGCUCCAUAAAUUUCUCCUUCCUCUGUCAGAAAGGUCUCAACUUUCUUUUUCUCAUUUUGUAGCACUCUUUCUGCGUGUAGUGCUUGGUUAAGGUAAUGUUACAGGCUGCAGACGGUUUGUCAACUCAAUGUUUUUCAAUUCAUUGUUUUGUAGGAUUAUUUGAAUUUGCAUGAAGAACAUUUUUUUAAUUUCCCUUGAUACACACUCCCUGGAGUGUGAUCUUCAGGAAUGCCACUGUUUGCUUUAAAACAUGCAGUCAUUCCAAUUCUAUAUUCUUCAAAUGGUUCAUUGUUAUUUUAUUUUGCUCUUCCAAUGGCAGAACAAUUUGCUUUUUGUCUAAAUCUCGCAGAGGUGCACGAUAUUAACCCUCGAACUCCCUGCUGCUAUGAGAAAGUACUUUGCUGUCAUCCAGAUUUAUUGUACUUCCACACCAUUUAAGUGGUAAGAUUUUCUCAAGUCUUGCGUUCCCUGGACGAAUUAUGUUACAUCAACUUUAUGAGAUGUGAUACCUUUUAUGGCCGUUUUCACAUCAUCUUGAGUCCAGGUUCUAUGUACCAAAAUGGUGGGUAGUUGAUCAUCUUGAAUAUUAGGAUUUGCCACUUCUAUCAUGGGAUAUGUUUCUUCAAUGCCUUCGUCGGACUGGUCUAUUUUUGGCAUGGGAGAGAAAGUCUUUCCCCAUGUUUUUGACAUUCCAUUUCUGCUCCUUCUGAUCUAGUUCCUUUUUUAUUUGUUCCUCCAUAGUGUGGGGGAGGUGAAGGGGGUGAAGGGGGUAAAGGUGAAUAUAGCACUGGAUACCCUGGAGCAGUUGGCGUUAUAACUGGGGUGGUGGUGUGUGGGUGUGUAACUCCCUGCCUCUCUUCCUGCCUUACUCCUACCGGUCCUUUCUCAUCAUCUUCCUUUCUAUGAAACAUAAUUGAUUCCUCUUUCUUAUCGUGUAAUUUUUCCUGUUCUUCCUUUUCUAUCCUUUUUUUACCUUGUUUUCUUUUUAUGGCUAUUAACAUCCAAAACUGUAUCGUCAUAGCCAUCUUUACUCAUUUUUUUUAAAUCAUUUUUGUGUGUGUUUCUUAUUUUAUCCUGAAGGUUAACUAUUUUUUGCGUAUUGAGCUGGCCAGCAAAGUCAUAUUUUGUUAUCCAUAAAUGUAGAUAUUUUAUUUUAGAAGGACAUUGUCUUUCUACAAACUUCCAGUCCUUAUAUGGUAAUUUUUGUCUAAGAUCCUCUGUGUCAACUAUUUUUCCGGAUGAUUUUCCCAUGUUGAAGUCAGCGGUUCACCGAGGGUGACUAAACUGACUUCCCCUGAACAGGGUGACAAUUACGUUCCGUUUGAGGUAAUUCUCAAGCUUCUACCACAAGUGGCGGAGAAUUCUUACCUCUGCAUCCUCAAACAGUUGUCACUCAAUUUCCUGUUCAAAUGAGGUAGCCAACCUCCACUCACACUUUUACACAUGCACAUGUUUCACAGAGCUCACGUACAGGACACACCUCGCCCUUUUCUCAGUUUUAUAGACUAGUUAGUCUACUCGAUAGUGACUAGUAUUCUCGAGGUUUGGUUCUCCCGCACUCACCCAGACGCGCAUUCACUCAUUCCCCUUGAGCGUGGGAGUUUCCUACUCACCAGAGAUGUCUUUACUUCCUCCGGCUUCUCGUCAACCCUCAACCUCCAGAUUGACUCUCUUCCAGUUCCGGGUGUUGAGUUCUUGAUCGGCAACGAUCUUAUGGGGGCUCGAGUUGGCGCUGAUCCUACUGUCAAUGUUUCUCAAGAGUGUUCACCCAGUACAGAGAAGUUGGAGUGUGAAUUUCGGGACAUUUUUUUGUCUUGUGCAUUGACUCAUUUGAUGUCAAAGACAUUUCUUCCAAGAUUUCUUUGCUGAAUGAUUAGAUUUUUGAUUUAUUAGAUACAUUUAUGGUUCAUUCUUUAGACUCAGAGGCUGAUGACUGCUUCAAACUCUUUAGGUCCUACUGAUAAGUCUGAAAAUUUGUUGAGUGGUGAUCACAUUUUGUCGAGAAAUCAGCUUAUUAGUGCACUGAGUGCCAAUGGUGAACUAAAAACCUCUCAAGCCAAAAUGAAACAAAAUUAUGACAAAACAUCAAAAGACAAGUUUCAUUCCUGGUGAAAAAGUGUUACUCCUUUUUUCCAUUCCUGGCCACCCACUCAGAGCUAGAUAUCAGGGCCCAUAUGAAAUAAACAAAAAAGUUAGCGACACAGACUACAUUGUCCUGACUCCUGGCCGUCGUAAGCACAAAAGGUUAUGCCAUGUGAACAUGAUGAAGAAAUAUCAUGAUAGGGUUUAAACCAAACAAGUCAGUUGUAUUGCUACAACAAUCUCCUCCCCAGUUACUGAUUAUUCAGUUGAUGAUGAUGCAAGGGUCAAUAACAACGUUGAUGAUGCUGUUCGCGAUGCCAAGUUUGAUGAUUUCAGUGAUAAUGCUUCACCAAAGUUGAUGUCCUAGCUUACCUUGAUGAGAAAUUGACACAUUUUUCAACUGACCAGAAAGCUGAAAUAACACAUUUUGCUUUUUGAGUUUUGUCAUUUGUUUCCAGAUGUGCCUGGCCGCACAUGCCUGGUUCGUCAUGAUAUAGAUGUGGGUGAUGCUGUGCCUGUGAAACAACACCCAGAUCGAAUGAAUCCUGCGAAGAGUGAGAUUCUGCAGAAGGAGAGUGGUGGUUGGCGCUGCUGCGCUAACAUGAACACUGUCAAUGCACUGUCACGAACUGACUCUUACCCUCUGCCCAGAGUGGAUGAUUGGAUUGGUCAUGUCGGUCAAGCUACAUAGAAGAACCCAUGUCUGAGAUGGUUUUAAAUGUAAAAAGAAAAUGUUGAAACCUGGAUCAGUGGUGCAACAAGCUCAGAGGCCCACCCACAGAAAGUACCAAAAAGACGAGUUGCAGAGGUAUGUUGGUAAUUUUUUGUUUCUUGAAAAACUUUGAACACUCUUGACAUGGUUGAAUUAAAGCAGCAUAUGUUGUUCUUGGUGAGUAAUAUAAAUUCUAUUACAGCAAAUGGUUUGACCAUUCUCAACUACACAAAUGGGAAAAUAUUGUAUACAAUAUGAUAUAUAAAAUAUUAUUAUGACAGUUAUGCAAAAUGUAAAGAAACAAUGCCCGUGACUCCACCCCAAACAAACAAUAUCACAAGGAAGUAUAUCUGGCAAUGUAUCUGACUGGUGUUAUUAUGUUUGGAGGAUUUGAAUUUAAAUAAAAUACUACAUAGUAUUAAAACAAGAAGUUAAGUACAGUAUUACAUACAGUGAUGAAAAUAAGUAUUUGAAGACUGCUAUAUUGCAAGUUCUCACACUGAGAAAUCAUGUAGGGGUCUGAAAUGUUCAUUGUAGGUGCACACCCACUGUGAGAGAGAUAAUCUAAAAAGAAAAAUGCAGAAAUCACAAUGUAUGAUUGUUUAACGAUUUAUUUGUGUGAUAAAGCUGCAAUAAGUAUUUCAACACCUGAGAAAACCAAUGUUAAUAUUUAGUAUAGUAGCCUCCACACAGAUCUUCUCUAGAUCAGACAGGUUUCUGAGCUGUCACUGAGAAACACAGUUUCAGCUCCCUCCAAAGGUGCAUCUGAUGGGCUUUUAAAGGCAGACAAACAGGUCUUUGAGAGUCAGAAUUCUACAUUGUGAUUUCUGGAUUUUUCUUUUUAGAUUAUCUCUCUCACAGUGGACGUGCACCUACGAUGAAAAUUUCAGACCCCUCCAUGAUUUCUAAGGACAAUGCGCAUGCGAGGAGGUACUUCUCUGCUGCAAAGGGUUUUUGGGCCUCGGAUAUAAAAAAAAAGAAAUCCGCGUUAGUAGCAGCCACCGGGUGCAUGUAAGUCGGUGGACCGGAAUCUGGCCACCUGCCCUGAUUUGUGUUUAACAUGAUUAGCAAUAUCAAUGUUGAGAAAGUUCGCAGUGUGCUUCCGUAUUGACAGAGGCUCAGCAUAUAGCCUAAACGUUGACGGAUAGCACACAUAGAACGCGUUGGCUAACAUACACAGACUGAUUUCAUUGUUAGAAACCUGAUGUAAUGUUUGUAUAAAUUUAUGAAACAAGUAUGUAUAUAUAAAACGAUGGUUGUUCAUGAAGACAAGAAACGUUCUUGAACACUUUAUUAGGACACCUGGAAUGAACAGAAUAGACUUUGUAUAAUAGGCACAACAGGUGCCUUUAUAAAAAUUAUAAAAAGACAUUCCGCUGCUUGCCAAACACGAGGAAAACGGGAAGAUGAGGCGGUAUUGGGAGGAUGAUGAGGACUGGGCGGACGCCCGGUACAGGGGGCGCCGCAGGCCUACACGAGGCUUCUGGGGGCGCGAUGGCGUGGCGCAGGGGUGGGUCGAUGUCCGCAGGCACACACACACCAUUCCAGCCCUCACCCGAAAUCGCCCCUCCGCGCGCACGGGGACGAGGGGGAACGCGAAAUCUCAUGUCUUCUUUGUCUUACAGGCCCGAACGGACAUAUCUCCUGGAGGCCAAUGAAUCACAGACCUUGAGGCCAGGGAGACAGACUAAAUUACAUAUGUGUAAAAAAGGGUCUAUGCGUCAAUGCAUGUUUUCUUGGUUAUGUGUGUGUGUGUGUAUAUAUAUAUAUAUAUAUAUAUAUAUAUAUAUAUAUAUAUAUAUAUAAACCCUGAGACUCAUACGUGCUUGCGCGGCAAAACGGCAACACAGGAGUUAUUUAGACAGCCAGGGUUUUAAACAUCAUUUGUACAAUGUUUAAAAUUUUUUAUACAUUGUAGAAGUGCUUCCUACGGGUUGCCGUGAUUUCCUUGCCCCGUCUAGGACCUACUGUGGUGUUUGUCUUCACAAGAGCCUGCGGUGGGAAAAAAAAAAAAAAAAAGUCAUGCUUCGAGGCUGGCAGUACCUCUGCAGACCCACCAGAUGGCGACUGUGGGAAGGAUGCCGAGCAGGACAAGAGAGGAAAAACUCCGUCAGGAGGGGUCAGGGCUUCCUGUAUGGAGGACCCGUCCGGAACAAUGCGCAUGCGAGGAGGUACUUCUCUGCUGCAAAGGGUUUUUGGGCCUCGGAUAUAAAAAAAAGAAAUCCGCGUUAGUAGCAGCCACCGGGUGCAUGUAAGUCGGUGGACCGGAAUCUGGCCACCUGCCCUGAUUUGUGUGUAACAUGAUUAGCAAUAUCAAUAUUUAGAAAGUUCGCAGUGUGCUUCCGUAUUGACAGAGGCUCAGCAUAUAGCCUAAACGUUGACGUAUAGCACACAUAGAACGCGUUGGCUAACAUACACAGACUGAUUUCAUUGUUAGAAACCUGAUGUAAUGUUUGUAUAAAUUUAUGAAACAAGUGUGUAUAUAUAAAACGAUGGUUGUUCAUGAAGACAAGAAAUGUUCUUGAACACUUUAUUAGGACACCUGGACUGUACAGAAUAGACUUUGUAUAAUAGGCACAACAGGUGCCUUUAUAAAAAUUAUAAAAAGACAUUCCGCUGCUUGCCAAACACGAGGAAAACGGGAAGAUGAGGCGGUAUUGGGAGGAUGAUGAGGACUGGGCGGACGCCCGGUACAGGGGGCGCCGCAGGCCUACACGAGGCUUCUGGGGGCGCGAUGGCGUGGCGCAGGGGUGGGUCGAUGUCCGCAGGCACACACACACCAUUCCAGCCCUCACCCGAAAUCGCCCCUCCGCGCGCACGGGGACGAGGGGGAACGCGAAAUCUCAUGUCUUCUUUGUCUUACAGGCCCGAACGGAGACAUCUCCUGGAGGCCAAUGAAUCACAGACCUUGAGACCAGGGAGACAGACUAAAUUACGUAUAUGUGUAAAAAAGGGUCUAUGCGUCAAUGCAUGUUUUCUUGGUUAUGUGUGUGUAUCUAUAAAUAUAUAUAUAUAUAUAUAUAUAUAUAUAUAAACCCUGAGACUCAUACGUGCUUGCGCGGCAAAACGGCAACACAGGAGUUAUUUAGACAGCCAGGGUUUUAAACAUCAUUUGUACAAUGUUUAAAAUUUUGUAUACAUUGUAGAAGUGCUUCCUACGGGUUGCCGUGAUUUCCUUGCCCCGUCUAGGACCUACUGUGGUGUUUGUCUUCACUAGAGACUGCGGUGGAAAAAAAAAAGUGAUGCUUCGAGGCUGGCAGUACCUCUGCAGACCCACCAGAUGGCGACUGUGGGAAGGAUGCCAAGCAGGACAAGAGAGGAAAAACUCCGUCAGGAGGGGUCAGGGCUUCAUGUAUGGAGGACCCGUCCGGAACGAUGCGCAUGCGAGGAGGUACUUCUCUGCUGCAAAGGGUUUUUGGGCCUCGGAUAUAAAAAAAAGAAAUCCGCGUUAGUAGCAGCCACCGGGUGCAUGUAAGUCGGUGGACCGGAAUCUGGCCACCUGCCCUGAUUUGUGUUUAACAUGAUUAGCAAUAUCAAUGUUUAGAAAGUUCGCAGUGUGCUUCCGUAUUGACAGAGGCUCAGCAUAUAGCCUAAACGUUGACGUAUAGCACACAUAGAACGCAUUGGCUAACAUACACAGACUGAUUUCACUGUUAGAAACCUGAUGUAAUGUUUGUAUAAAUUUAUGAAACAAGUGUGUAUAUAUAAAACGAUGGUUGUUCAUGAAGACAAGAAACGUUCUUGAACACUUUAUUAGGA